CUGUGUUCUCUGAGUAUUGUAUUUACCCAUCUCAAACAACAUCUUAAACCAAGAGGGCUGUUUGGACAGAUGAAAUCCAUCUCCGCAUCAUAUUUAGGCUUUUUUAUCCCCAAAUGCUGGCACAAUAUUUGUAACUCAUGUCUUUGAACACUCUGUCAACAUUUAAUAUCAUCCAUGCUAGACUUUCCCUUCAUAUGACCAAUAUUGAUUUGAGAGUUGCGGUUCAUUUUCUAUGAGCACCUAAAGGGUCGAUUGUUCAGAAAUCCUGCAAGGAGACGGCAAACCAUGCAAAGACACUCAAUAAAAUGAAACUUUUGUUGAGGUGAAAAAAGCGGAACAAGCCUAAAUAUUGACAAAACGUAUUUGACUAGGGCUUGCUGUUCCUGGGAUUUUGUCAAGCUGUAUGGGAGCUUCAAGCCGGCUGUGAAUUGAGAAUGAAGGUCUGCAUGCUAGAGCAUGUCCAGGGAGCCCCAUGGCUGUUGUAGUGAGCGUAGGACUGACUUAAUUUCCUUCUCAGGUACCACACUUGGUGUCAACAAUACAAAGAAAGAAAGAUGCAUGCAAAAGUGAAGGAACUAAGACAAAAGUAUGAGGGAUGGAAGGAAGACGAGAGGAAAGAGAAAGGAAAUAAGGCAAGGAGGAGGAAAGAAAGAGCAGAAAGACAAAGUUGCAUGGCAGAAGGAAGAAAAAAAUACAGGGAAGGAAAGAUAGGAGGAAGGAGGAAGGAAAGAACACGGUUUGAAAGGAGGAGAGAAUAAAGUAGGAAGGCAAAAAAGAAGGAAUGAAGGAAGAAAAGCAAAAAGGAGGAUGGAAAAAGAAAAGUAAUGAAGGCAACAAGGAAUGAAUAAGGUUAGAGGACAAAAUUUAAGAAAAAAGUAGGGAAAACACUGGAAGGAGGAAAAAGAAAGCAUAACGAAAAGAAUGAAGAAAAAGAAAAGAGAAGCAAAAAAGCAGGAAUUAAAGUUUAAAGAAAAGAAACCCACACACAAAAUACAAAGUAGAAGAAAGAAAAACACAAUAUACUAAGCAGGAACACAUGAUCAAUGGAUACAGCAUAGUUUGUAAUAUAUUAAAUACAUGUUCUCUGACUGAGAUCUCGUCCUUAUGUUGUGUUGCGUAUAAUAAUAUAUUUUACAGCACAGUAAAGACUUUAUAAAUGAAAUAAAAUGUAUAUAAACCUUUUUGCGCUGUAGAAGUGAACAAAAUCUGCGGCCGGCAAUGAGAAGUGUUCUCUCCUGUGGACUCAAAAAGCCCGGUCUGACUGUAACUCAGCAGUUGGGUUGUUUCGACGGAGACAGACUCAACCCAGUGGAUGGGUAGAAGAAAAAAAAAAGUGACCCAGCAGCUUGGUGACAAAAAAUUUUUAAAAGAAAAAUUACCCAACAAGCAUUUGGGUAAAAAAUAAAAUAAAACAUAACAGCAUCUGGUUAAAAAAAGUAAAAACAACCCAAUAAAAUGACCCAACAGGCUGAACCCAGCAUUUUUUUGAGUGAAGGAAGGAAGAGAAAAGGACGACCGAUAGAAUGUUGCAAGGGGGAAAAGAAUGAGAAUGACUAAAAUAGGUCCCAUCCCAGACAAGAUAUUUUUUAGCUAUUUUUCUAGCCGAGCAAUCCCCAUCUUGAAGCAUAGAAACAGCAUAUAUUGGCUAAGGCAUGGAGACCAACCAAUCAUGAAGUAAUUUUUUUUUUUUUUUGUAUAAGAACCAUAAAGGUUACUGAACUUUGUUUAAUUAACUCUCGGAUAAUAAUCUGCAUUCACGUCUGUAAACCCAUAAAAACCCAUUCAAUGGACAUGGAGAAAACCACAGAGAACGAUCGCACAACACGCGCCCGAGACAAACCUCCAAACACCCUCGCUGCAUGAAGCUGUCGGAACAUAAUUCUAAAAUUACUCGGCGAAGCUAACUCAUUAGCAUACUCAUGCACUGGAGGGAAAUGCACUGAUUAUGUUUUACUUUACACUGAUGACUGAGAUGUAUUCAUCUGCUAGGACCGCGGCUUUGUGUGUCCGCGUGUUCAACCAGGGGUAGAGAGGGGGGACGGAUACGUAAUAAUCAUCCUCCCUAGAUUAAAUGGAGGCCAUUAGACAGAUAUUAGGGGUACAAUUGGGAGUAUUGGGCCAGGCUGUCCGCUAACGCUCUUCACUACGAUCAACGAGUGAGUCACGGCUCUGUCUAAUGGUUUAUCAGCCGUGUAGAUAUAGGACCGUGGCGUGGCUGCGUAGGGGAGCACACCGGGAGGCCUGGCCGUGGAUUUUUUAUCGGUCUAUGUAUCCGGCUUCUGUUCCCUUCUCUCCCAGCAUUACCGGGAAAAAGUCAUUACCGCUGUAAUUAUUUUCAAGAAGAUGUACUUAGAGAACUCACAAAUAUCAGCGAAUUGCAUGCUUUCUUUGAUAAAUACUAUAACAUUCAGGGGGGUUACGUAUUUUGCUGUACAGCCGCGCUUUUUUGUGGGGUUGUCAUCUAGGGUAUGUCCAUUUAGAAGUAGGCUGUUUUACCGCGUUUGCGUCCACGCGUUAAUUGGACGUAAUUAAGGACAUGCAAGCACCACAGAAAGGAUGAGAGCGGUACGCAUUAUGGGGUAGAGGCAUGUUCGAAAGGGAACGUGUAGGCUGGUUCUGUCAGAGAGGCACGAGGCAAACAAAGCUGCUCGGUCAUGACUGAGAGCGCCAUGAAUAAUCUCUGAUUGAGGCCAAUUAUCACAGCAGACAUAUCUGACAGAAACAGAGGCGGAGGAAAAAUGAGGAAGCCUUCUCUGGAGGACAAGAUCUGGGAGUUUAUCCUCAAACGCAGAAUAAUAGCAUGCCGCGUCAGCAGUCUGGUCUGAAACAUGUCAUAAAUCCGAGGGAACAGAGAUGUUGUCCAACCUAUGGAGGGAAAACCGAAGGAGAAAAUGAAAGAGAAAGAGUGGACAUCAUGCUGCUCGCCAACAGACAAUUCCAGCCACUCUGUCAGACAGCAGUUGACUGCUACUCUGCUAUUCCUGUUAGAGGACUGAACCCACUCUGCCUUGUUGGCACAGAUAUUUUUAGCCCUGGCGUUUUACAGAGAGACCAGCACUAGAGUGAUGGGGCCAGACAGGCCUCCAACUGCAAAAGGGCACAGCGGUGGGAUGAAGAGGGCGGAGGCGGGCAAGGUCACAUGAGGCCACUGGAGACGAGAGACUGGAAGAUGAUGUGAUGAGAUCUGGUGAUUGAGUCUUGUAGAAUCUGUCUUUGAAGAACUGCAUCUUAUACCUCUAAAAAGGCUAGCAUGGUAUUUUUAGCUUAAAAUAAAAAUAUAACUUAGUCGCAACUUUUAUUUCACAAUUCUGGUAUUUAUCAGAUGUAAGAAAAAAAUAUAUAUAUAACAAAAAUGUGAACUCAUAAUUCUGAGGAAAUAAAGUCAGGAUUUGCUAGACAUAAACUCACAAUUCUGACGUACCUUCUUAUAUUUUACAGUUUAC